GGGGUGGUGGCGCAGUUGGCUUUCGCGUCAGUCUCAUAGCUUCUGAGUUAUCCUGAGGUUGAGGGUUUGAGUCUCUCUCACCCCA
rfam:Citrus sinensis cultivar Ridge Pineapple sweet orange scaffold00055_contig_2, whole genome shotgun sequence.